AUGUAAUCAAGAAACUGACUCAGAAGGACCUUUACCCUAUCUGUUUUAUCAUAACACAUUACCUCAUUUUAUCCCCAAAGCCACUCACUGGCAGACAAGAGAGCACUUCUUCUAGCCCUUUGGGUUAAGAUCAAAUGUAAAGAGAAAAAAGAUCAAAUUCCAAAGCAGAGGCUGGAGGAAAAGUCUCUGUGCUUAAGAGCACUGGCUGCUUUCUCAGAGGACAUGGGUUCAAUUCCCAGCAGUUACAUACAAAUUCACACUGCCUAUAACUCCUGCUUUAGGGGAGCUGAUGCUUUCUUCUGGCCUCCCAAGGAGUUAGACACCAAGCAUACACACCUAUAUACAUAGAAAUAAAUAAAUAUAAUUAAAUAAAGGAGAGCACCAUCACAUUUCACAGUUAUUUAAAAGCAGAAAGAAAGGCAAAUGACAACGAAGUUUAAAUUUGUUCAAAAUCUCUCAUACCUAGUAUGGUAAGGAUAUUAAUUCCAGCACUUGGGUGUUAGGAACAGGAGAGUAUUCAUACUAUGUAGUAAGAGUUUGAGGCCAGCCUGGGCUACAUGAGACCUCUAUUAAAGUAACUCUGCCAAUUCUAGCGUUUCAAUCAGAACUUGUUUCUUUUACAUUUCAAGCCAGGAUAUGUUUCCUGCCCUCAUUCCUGGGGCCUUCCUUUUUACUCCCUCUCCUCCCUUCUUUCAUCUCCUUUCUCCCCUUCUUAGGAGCCAGGACCAAUAGAUCUUAAACAUGAAGCGGGUUGACAUACCCAUCAUCCCUGGGCUGCCAUAACGAAAUGCUGCACACUAGGGGUCUUAAGCAACAGAUGUUUGUUAUUCCAAGGCUUGAAGCUCAAGGUCAGUGUGCUGAUGCCACGUGACCCACAUCCCCAAACUCUGCUUCUGUGCCUCCCCAACCAUGAUGGAUAAUAACCUAAAACUCUAAUCAGCAGAAAAAGAAAAGAAGACACCAUGCAUUGGAACCAUUUCUGUGGCUGUGGUAAAGCACAUGACCACAGGUAACUUAGAGAGGAAGUGUAUUUGGGUUUACCAAUCCAGAGAGAUAAGAGUGCAUCGUGGCAGGAGGCAGAUGCCACCAAAAAAGAAAAAAAAAAAUGGAUCACAGGAGCCUCAGGAAGAUGACCCUGGAGACAGCAUCUCCUGGAGAAGUGUCUGCCAGAGUUUAUGAGUCCCAUGUAAAUAUGCCUGGAUGCCGCUGCCAGUGACCUUUACACUGUUUGCAUUUCAGGAAGGCUCCAAACAGAGUUUCUGUCCUUGCAGAGCCUUAGGAUUCUAGACUACACUUGGGAAAAACAAUAACUAAACCAGAUUCCACCUGAGCUGAAAUACAGAAGUGACAAUGUGGGGAAUGUCAUCAUAACACCUUUCUCCUCCCUGGGUGAGCCCUGGGCCUUAAGAAUUGUGUGCAGUACUUCCUGCACGGAGCACUCGGUCCCAGCAACUUUCACAGAUUUUGAUCUGUGUGUCCUUGGUGGCAUUGGUACAUAAAACUGCUUGUGUACAAUUCAGGGUCUGCUUGUUCCUUCCGAAUAAACCACAGCUAUUCCUUGUCAUCAUAAGAGUCAAGAAAAAGACUGAAGAACAUUAGUUCGCAGGAAGAACAAAGACCAAGACAAGAACAACCUCAAGUAACAUUACAGACUGGUUUCCACCAGAAAUAUGUAAUACUACUAUGGUUCAACCGGAGUUAACUUUUUAAGUGAAAUUUCUUGAGCUAACGUCUUCUAUGAUUAUAAACGAGAAGCCUGAGGCACUGCGCCUUCAUAGUAGUAUUUUCUGUUUGGCAGUUUCUCCAAAUGAACUCUUUGAGAAGACAAGAAGAGAGAAAGGCUCUGUUCAAAACCAUAUGUUAAAUAUGGACCAGUGAUGAGACUCAGACUAAACUUGGGUCUCCUGACCUGAACCCCAGAACUCCUCCCAUCCUUGUCUUUUUCACCUCUUAACAUCAAGAAUCUCACUGAUUUGAGUGGAAACAACAGCAAGGAAUGACAGGCAAAAGCUAUUGAGAGGAAGAACUGAGGGGAAGUUCAAACCUUCAAGGCAAGACUCUACUUAGUACCCCAAGAGGCUACACUUGACUUUCUAUAUGGAUUGGAUAAAUAAUACCUGGGAUUCUCACCACGUGAAGCAACUUCUUAAUAUCUCAUAGUUAACUCUUUGCAUAUAAUAUAAAAUUGGAUCCCUCUCCCUCUCCCUCUCCCUCUCCUCUCCCCUUCUCUCCCUCUCCCUCUCUCCCUCUCCUCCUUUCCUCUUAGCUGACCAAUGAGAUCAGCCAUAGAUUCUGAUCUCUCAUUUCUCUUUAAACAUUUAUGUUGCUCAGAAAGUCUUGGUCGUGCCUUUAAAUCCUGAUGUUUGCGGAACCUUCUGGAAUCAUUGUAAAACUAGUGAAUCUGGAGAAGAGCCAACACUGGCUUCAUAACCACAUCAUCGUUCUGAUCCAAUUACUUCGUGGUUACUCAUCACUGACAGCUUACUUUCUCUCAUGCUUCCUUCUUCUAUUUCUUCUUGUCUUUAAUACUCUCUCAUUUUUUUUACCUUCCUCUCCCUCUUCCUUUAUUCACUUUCUCCAAAUUACUUAGCAGACACUAUUGAUUUAGUUCUUAUUCCUGAUUUAUUUUAUUAAUUACAACACUAGCAAUGGGCCAAAGCAUGGGCUAAGUUGAUCAACGGAUGUAUUUCACUUCUUAGUCAAUAUCAACUAAAGCCUAAACUGUGGCAAAAUUAUCUCAUUACACAUUUAAUCAUCUCAUGGGCACCCACGUGCUCUGUUUCUCUUGUGUGUCUUAAGAUGUGUGAGUUUUAAAAACCUUUGUAAGUGAAGACAGUACCCAUUGCCCAUGAUCUAUUGUAACAAUCACUACACAGCUUCUGUAGCAUUAGAUUUUGAGGCUGCUUUUAAUUUCCAACUUGAUUGGCUUGAGGAAAAUGCUGGACAGUUUAGAUAGCACACCUCUGAGUGUAUCUGUAUGGUAUUUUCCAGAGGUAAGUAGAUCCCUAGGACUUUGACACAGUGACUGAAUUAGUUACUGCAUCUACCUGAAAGCAUACUGGGAUGUGGGUAAAGGUAAGUGGAGAGGCACAGUUGGGUCAAGUAGGACUUUGAAGGCUCUCCCUUUCCCUGGUCAUUCUCUGUAUUUCCUUUUGUUCUGUCUUUCCGUCCACCAUAGUGUGAGCUCUUGUUCUCUGCUACAACAUCUCAACUCUCACCUCUGAAACCGUGAGCAAAACAAACAGCUCUUCACUUUCUUAAAAUCUCCACAAGUUAUUUCCUCAUAUUGAUGAGAAGAAAAGCUAACACGAUAGCUAAUCUUCACCUGUCAUCUCCAGCUCCAUAUCAGCCUGCAUCCUGCCAGUGAUGGACUACAGCUCUGAACUAUAAGCCAGCCUAAUUCAAUGCUUUCCUUUAUAAGAGUUGCCAUGCUGGUCGUGGUAUCUCAUCACAGCAAUUAAAUCUAAGACAAGGAAUAUUGGAAUUAUAUGUCCUUGCUUAUUGGGAUGGUAAGAUGAGAAGUUAAUUUUAGCAUCUGUUCUUUUCUUUUGGCACACUAGAUGUCAAACAUGAGAUUCAGCUUUAGGAGGACAUUAAGGUUUUGCAAAAGAAACAAGCGUUUCACAUGAAAGAACAGACAAGAUUCUUACCAUUCCUCCAUCAUGGUUACCUUUAACUAUCAGAUAAACACAACCUAGAAUUAUCUGGGAAGAGAAUCUCAAUGAAAGUAUUGCUCGGAUCAUAUUGGCUAGUGGGCAUGUUGUGAACGACUGUCAUGAGCAGCGCCAAUCCCUGAGCAGAGGUUGUCCUUAACUGUGUAAGAAAGCUAGCUGUGCAUAAUUCUGCCCAUCAACUAGCAAGCAAAGUUCGCCAUGGCUUCCACCAUUUUUCUUAGGCUGUGAUUAAGUUCAUUGGUCAGAGAUAAUUCUGUAAAUAAUAACAAAAUGGUAUGCUGGGUUGCCUUUUGGUUCCUGCCUUGGCUUUUCUCAAUGAUAGAGCAUGGCCAGAAACUGUAAGCUGAAUAAACCUUCUUCUCCGUUCUGUUGCUUUCUUCUUAGGGCGUUUUUAUCAAACAAAAAUUCAAGGUAUUAUAAAGCACAGAACUUUGCAUAGAUUCUUGGUGUUCACACAGAUGGUCUUGUUUUGUCUGUUUUCCUGGAACUGCAAGUCCUUGAGGAGAUGAGCACUCAGCACCCACCCCCCCUUUUAUGUGAUACGAUCAAUAAUUCCAGAAUAAGCCGAUCGAAAAAUGGGCCUAAACCUAAUACCUAAUGUUUUGUUGCUUUAUCCAUUUUAGAAAUCUAUUUUAAUGUUCCUGCAAAAUUCUGAGAGUUUCAUAAUGCAAGUAUUGAAGUGGGCACUUUGAGUGUAAGGAAGCAAACACAAAAAGGUCUGUGAUACGGUUCAGGCUACAAGCAGAGUUAAAGUUGAAUGGCUGUCACAGACAUGAGCUAUUUCAGGCUAACUCAGAUAUGGCUUUUCCGAGGUUCAAUGUUGUUAUGUCUUGGAACCCUCACAGCUUAGGUGUUGAAGCUUGUUUCCAGCUGACAAUACCAGUAAGGGUUGACUGGAUCCUGCAGGCAUGGUUAGCUGGCUAACCUGUUGAUAAGCUCCUAGUAGACAAAGGUGGGGUUUCACUGGAAGAAAUGGAUCCCUGGGGGGAGAGAUUUGUAGGUUAUCACAUUAUCUUUGCUCCUUCCUGAGUCAAUCUCCCUAUUUCUUCUUCUCUUCAUUGUCUUUCCUCCCUCCCCCACCCAACUCUACUUCCUGAUUACUGUGAAUGAGCAACUUGUUCCUUAUUCUUCCCAUCAAGAUUCU